rnacentral:sRNA from 1 species
UAACAAAUAACACGGAGGCCCGGGAGGA